rnacentral:rRNA from 1 species
AUUGAACGCUGGCGGCAGGCCUAACACAUGCAAGUCGGGCGGAGCGGCGGACGGGUGAGUAAUGUAUGGGGAUCUGCCUGAUGGAGGGGGCUAACUCCUAGAAACGGUAGCUAAUAACGCAUACCAUCAGAUGACCCCAUAUGGGCUUAGCUUGUAGGUGGGGUAAAGGCCUACCAAGACGACGAUCCGUAACUGGUCCGAGAGGAUGAUCCGUCACACUGGAACUGAGACACGGUCCAGACUCCUACGGGAGGCAGCAGUGGGGAAUAUUGCACAAUGGGCGAAAGCCUGAUCCAGCCAUGCCGCGUGUGUGAAGAAGGUCUUCGGAUUGUAAAGCACUUUAAGUUGGGAGGCGUUACCAACAGAAUAAGCACCGGCUAACUUCGUGCCAGCCGCCGCGGUAAUAC